AAUCUAACAACCACCAUCCAGAAGGGUCCUGUCCUGUACCCGGGAGGAAGAAAUGCUACACAGAGAAGCCAAGAUGAAUCUGAACAGACAGCCUUUGAUGUUAGAAGACACUGAGGCAUCAACAGGGUUUAAUUCCAUACUCUGUCAUCGAAUAUAGCAAUUGUAAUUGCACCAAUCAGCACUUUGUGUCAAGCUCAAGAUUUGU
rnacentral:lncRNA from 10 species